AGCGAACGCUGGCGGCAGGCUUAACACAUGCAAGUCGAACGAGCCUUCGGGCUAGUGGCGGACGGGUGAGUAACACGUGGGAACGUACCUUUAGGUUCGGAAUAACUCAGGGAAACUUGAGCUAAUACCGGAUGUGCCCUUCGGGGGAAAGAUUUAUCGCCUUUAGAGCGGCCCGCGUUAGAUUAGCUAGUUGGUGGGGUAAUGGCCCACCAAGGCUACGAUCUAUAGCUGGUCUGAGAGGAUGAUCAGCCACACUGGGACUGAGACACGGCCCAGACUCCUACGGGAGGCAGCAGUGGGGAAUCUUGCGCAAUGGGCGAAAGCCUGACGCAGCCAUGCCGCGUGAAUGAUGAAGGUCUUAGGAUUGUAAAAUUCUUUUAGCAGGGACGAUAAUGACGGUACCUGCAGAAAAAGCCCCGGCUAACUUCGUGCCAGCAGCCGCGGUAAUAC
rnacentral:rRNA from 1 species